UACAGCUGGUGCUGACAGGUUCUUGCUGCCCUUGGAGAGGAGCCGUGGUGCUGCUCUGGGUGUUUCUCUCGUGCUGGGGGUGAUGCCUUGUUUGCUCACAGCUGAUAUGUGCUCAGUCCUGCUGUUUCUGUCCCAACCCCAUGUGUCCCACUGGUCUGGAAUAACGUUUGGAGUCUGGCAGUCUGGUCCUUUUCGUAGCUCCAGAGGAUUUUUAGGAGCAUGGGGAGCAUGAGAUGCAUGGACAUAUGGACCCACAGAACCCUCUGGAGAAUGCUGGCUGUGGAUAAAAGCAUCUGGAAGUUUCUACCAUCUUUCUACCCUGUUUUUUCCUGGGUCACUCUAUGUCAUUUGUGGCCGUGCCCUGAGGAUUAUAGCGUACAGUCACUUACUGGAAUACCUCCCCAUGCAUCUUCUUGAGAUGGAGCCAUUGCUUUACCCAGCUGGAAGAUAUGUUCUCUUCUCCCAGAGUUUUUCCAGGGCAGCAGCACUCCUGUCCAGCAGGGCUGUUGGUACUGCAGGGCAUUCUAAGCAGGUGGAUACCAAACAGCAUUUGUGACGAGGAUGCUGCUGCGUCACUUGCAUUCUUCACCCCGGCCCAGCAGUAACUCUUUCCAGACUACCAGCAGCAGUCCAGGCACUUACAUCCUGCUCCAUUCCCUCUCCAAGAGCUUUGUGCAUCCCCUCUCCCUCAGCAGAGGAGCUGCUGCCAGCUCAGACAGAGGUCUCGGUUGACUGCAGAAAGGAGGAGGGAGGAGCGUGUCAAAGGGAGGUCAGACCCUGCCAGGGUUUCCUGGGAAAUGAGGAGGAUUGGUCUGGGUGACCUUCAAAGAUCCCUUCCAAUCCAGCCUAUUCCACGAUUUCCAGUCUGGUUGAGAGGACAUCACUGCAGUACAGUCAUAGGACCAUUACCUUGGGCUGCUUGUAUCUGGCCAAUGUCCAAUGGAGGAGCUCGUGGACAUCAUGGAAUCUUUAGUU